GGCAGGUCACCCCCCGCCCCGGUCCUCAGAGUCCAGCGGAGCAGCUCGAGCAGGACCCGGCAGCCUCAGUGUCCCCGGCGGGACGCCGGCACACGCUGUUCCCUUCUUCCCUCCCCCCUAGGCCUCUGCCCUGGGGAUGGGGGGGGGGGGGAGAGAAACGCCGGGAGAACGGCCGAAGGUAACGACAAUUAUCGGAUAAUACUCAACUCCUGGGAGUCACAGCAAGAAAAAGAGCGGCCGACGGCAAGCAGGACCCGAGGACCCCCGGGAACAGGACGGGACGCUACGCGAUCAGGAACCGGAAAACGAGUAAAGGGAUUGGAUCUCUAAAACUCAAAGAUCAGGAGGCUACUUGGAGUCCAAGUUUUGUAACUAGCUGAACCAUACCCCAAGGACCAGUGAAUGAUCUGGAGUAACCUUUAGGAUCCACCUCCGGGGACCUGAGCUAAAGAUCUAUUAGGCAAUUAUGCUACAUAUGGAAGUGAACUUGAUGGGACCAAAGUAGAUACUGAGCUAAGAGUGAGCCUACUUUCUCCACAGAUCAAGGUGGAAAAGAAGAGUUUUUAUGCCCAAGGAACUGGGGAAAAUGUUUGUAUAUUCUGCUCUUGCUAUAGUUUUGAAGUAAAUAUACCUUUGCAAAAACAA